GGUCCCGUAGUUUAAUGGAUAAAACGUAGGAUUCCGGUUCCUAUGAUGGGGGUUCGAUUCCCUUCGGGAUCAC
rnacentral:tRNA from 1 species